rnacentral:lncRNA from 1 species
GGCGGGUUCCGCGGGCAGGUUGUGCGGGACCUGCCGGAGUUUGCGGGGGCGGGAGCGUCCUGGACUCCGCGUCCCCGGGCACCCCGCGCGCUGACCCGCAGGGGCUGGCAAGUGUCUGGUCCCGGCGCUGCCGGCGCUCAGGCUGCGCCCUGAGCCCGCAGGAAGCGGGCGUGUGCUGAGCGUCUGUGACCCUCGCGGCGGAAUAAACAGGAAGCGACGAGCACCCAGCCGGGCCACCCUGCUUUUGUUGUGCGGGCUGCGGGGCGCAGCGCGGAGGACGCUUCCUGGGACCCCAGCCGGCCGCCCCGGGGCCGGGCGCGCCCUGCCUUUCCUGACCGUCCUCCUCACAGGCAGGAGUGGUCACCUGUCCCAUUGGCCCUGGGGUCCCUCUGUCCCUCACUUGACGAGGAGGAGCCAUCCAGCCUCAGAGUGACCCUCGCUGGAUGCGGGGAGCUCAUCUCCUUGGAUGCAACCCCCUUUGAGGCCCAAGCACACCUGGAAACGUGCCUGGGAUUUGGAGCAGGUGGGCUUUUCUUCCCCGUGGGCCCUGCUUCUCUGUGGGGUCCACCACUGAGGCCCCGCAGGGCCUCCUGCUUUGGCUGGACAGUGCGUUUCCCGUUCUUCCCUGGCUCCUGCAGGGCCCCGCGGGUUCUGCUUCUAGGUGGGAGUGCCGUGGGGGGUCCAGCCCCGCAGCUCGGCGAGGUGGCGCACCCGAGACCCUGGGGCCCAGGUCCUGGCUCCGGUAAAAGCACAGGCCGGGGGUCUUGGCUGUCUCGCUGGCUGGAUGUCGGGCCUUCUCGUACUGUUUACCACAGAAGGAUGUGGCUUCUCAGCCCAGGACUUGGCUUUCCGGUUUCCGGUGACGGCGACUCCUGGCCUCUCCAUUUGUGGAAAGCCGUUGAAGUUCUACAUUUGUAACGUCAAACUGCUGUCUCCUGAUGGGACCAUUUUCAAGAACUGACAUCAGUUUUCAUACAGCUUAAAAGGUGAGUAAAACUUGAGACUCUCCCCUUUGGUAACGUUCCUGAAGCAGAGCUUGUCCCAGCAUUGACUGUUCUGGGAUGCUGUUCCUCUCAGGAAAGUGGUCCCAACUUCUGGGUGUAUAGACCAUCUCACCAGGGUGACUUUUUCACCACUGAUGGGGCAAACUUGCACAAUACCAGAUUAAAUGUGAUUUCUUUUUUUAAUAUGCCAGUAUGUUUACAGGGG